rnacentral:rRNA from 2 species
UACGGAGGAUGCAAGCGUUAUCCGGAAUGAUUGGGCGUAAAGCGUCCGCAGGUGGCACAUCAAGUCUGCUGUCAAAGCCCCCAGCUUAACUGGGAAGAGGCGGUGGAAACUGGUGAGCUAGAGAGCAAUAGGGGUAGAGGGAAUUCCCGGUGUAGCGGUGAAAUGCGUAGAGAUCGGGAAGAACACCAGUGGCGAAAGCGCUCUACUAGGUUGCAACUGACACUGAGGGACGAAAGCUAGGGGAGCGAAUGGG